AUUGAACGCUAGCGGGAUGCUUUACACAUGCAAGUCGAACGGCAGCGCGGACUUCGGUCUGGCGGCGAGUGGCGAACGGGUGAGUAAUGUAUCGGAACGUGCCCAGUAGCGGGGGAUAACUACGCGAAAGCGUAGCUAAUACCGCAUACGCCCUACGGGGGAAAGCAGGGGAUCGUAAGACCUUGCACUCUUGGAGCGGCCGAUAUCGGCUUAGCGAGUUGGUGAGGUAACGGCCCACCAAGGCGACGAUCCGUAGCUGGUGUGAGAGGACGACCCGCCACACUGGGACUGAGACACGGCCCAGACUCCGACGGGAGGCAGCAGUGGGGAAUGUUGGACAAUGGGGGCAACCCUGAUCCAGCCAGCCCGCGUGUGCGAUGAAGGCCUUCGGGUUGUAAAGCACUUUUGGCAGGAAAGAAACGUCGCGGGCUAAUACCCCGUGGAACUGACGGUACCUGCAGAAUAAGCACCGGCUAACUACGUG
rnacentral:rRNA from 1 species